rnacentral:rRNA from 1 species
UACGUAGGGUGCGAGCGUUAUUCGGAAUUACUGGGCGUAAAGCGUGCGCAGGCGGUUCGCCGAGUCAGGUGUGAAAUCCCCGGGCUUAACCUGGGAAUUGCGCUUGAAACUAGCGGGCUUGAGUGUGGCAGAGGGGGGUGGAAUUCCACGUGUAGCAGUGAAAUGCGUAGAGAUGUGGAGGAACACCGAUGGCGAAGGCAGCGCCCUGGGUAAACACUGACGCUCAUGCACGAAAGCGUGGGGAGCAAACAGG